rnacentral:lncRNA from 1 species
CAAUAUAUAGCAAUAAAAAAUUCAGAAGAGAAUCUUAGUAAGAUUACUUGCAGGAGUUCAAGAAUGUGGCGUGUUCUUAAAACUAGGGGACAAGGUUGAUUUCAACCAUUGUUAGCAUUAUGUUUCUGUAAUCUUAGCCCUGAAUAAAUUACUCAAGCAUCACGAAGAUCAUUAGACAAACAACAAAACAACAACAACAACAGAAUCCCACCCAGCAGCACCAUUUGUAUGUCUACGCCAGUGUCUACUUCGGUCAGUUUGUAAGUAUUGGAGGUCGGAGGUGAAAAGGAAAGGUUAAUUAGCCCAGCCUUUUAUGCAAAACAGUUUGCAUACCAUUUUCUCCAUAGUAAUUGUGUGAGAGAGAGAAAGGAUAGAUUUACAACACAUAGCUGUGGGGAAGGAGGUUUAUUAUUAAACAGAGAUAAUAAAUAAGUGUUGGAAACCACACACAGCAACUGGAACUUAGCUUUUAUGUGUCUUGGUUGCCAGCAGCUUUUACUACUUCAACAGAUCCUGACAACAAUAAUUAGAAUUCAAGGGAAGCAGGAGGAAGGUGAUUAAUCUUGCAAAUCCGUUUCUGGUAGCACAUCAGCACUGGUCUGGGGAAUGGGGACGCCUGGUUCUUCCUCUCUGCUGCCCCAUGUUCUCCACACUGGCUGCAGCACACAUCUGUCUAGUGACAGAUUUUAGAAUAGCAAACCCUGGGCUGUAUCAACCGCCAAACAAAGGCCAAAUGACACAAUAAAAGCAUCGUUUAUCUUUCAAAAACUCUGCUACUGCCAAGAGGGAGGACCCACACCUGGGAAAAGAUUGUCAUUCUUAUAUGGAAGAAACCUGAAUUGUUUCCACGUUGCUUUUUCCUUGACACCCAGGCCACUUUCCAUCGGGUUGUCAGGAUACUCCUAAGAAGGGGAGUCGGAAAUGCCAGAUGUUCUGUAUCACCUUUAGUUAAAAACCAAGCCUCCUGUUACUAGGGACCAUUCAAGGUCCACUAAUCCCUUUGCCUUGGGUCCCUUUUGGAUACGGAACCGAGCAGCAGUCCUCCACUUCGCCCUCCCCCGCCGCUGCAAGGGAAAAGAAGGUCGUUUUCCUCGGGUCCCCGGCGAGGCCCUCCAGGAACCCGGAGCCCCCCGGGGACACCGCCCAGCCCCCGGCGCCCGGCCCCGCCCCUGCGCGAACUCGGCCGCACCCACUUUCCCGGGCGGCUCCCCCUUCGUGGCCUGUGACGUCACAAGGCCCCCAGCCGCCUGCGCUCCGCGGUGCGCGCCCCGCUCCGGGACCUGCCGCCGCCGCCGCCCCGCCCUCGGCGGCGCCCACACCCAGGCGCGCCCGCGCGCGCGCCCGGCGCGGUCCCC